UACAGAGGGGGCAAGCGUUGUUCGGAAUUACUGGGCGUAAAGGGCGCGUAGGCGGCCUGCUAAGUCGAACGUGAAAUCCCUGGGCUCAACCCAGGAACUGCGUCCGAUACUGGUUGGCUUGAAUCCGGGAGAGGGAUGUGGAAUUCCAGGUGUAGCGGUGAAAUGCGUAGAUAUCUGGAGGAAUACCGGUGGCGAAGGCGGCAUCCUGGACCGAGAUUGACGCUGAUGAGCGAAAGCUAGGGGAGCAAACGGG
rnacentral:rRNA from 1 species